CGGGAACAGCUCAAAUUUUGAAUCUGGCAGUCUCUGGCUGUCCGAGUUGUAAUCUAGAGAAGUGCUUUCCGCGCUGAACCGUGUACAAGUCUCCUGGAAUGGAGCGUCAUAGAGGGUGAGAAUCCCGUCUCUGACACGGAGCUCAGUGCGUUGUGAUGCGCUCUCGAC
rnacentral:rRNA from 1 species